rnacentral:misc_RNA from 1 species
UACUUCAUUCAAAUGCCCACUGGUUCUCCCGACGAACCUCUUCCUCCUCCUCAGGGGUGAAAUCAUUCUUGAUGUUAUAUAUCUUCCGGAUCUCCUCAGGGGUUUUUCCCUUGAUCACGUCUGCAACAGUCUGGCAUGUCAGGUCCAGCAGGCCCUUGAUGUUCAAAUAGUUGGCAGCCAGAAUGAGAUCGAAAAGCGUGCCCUGAUCAACUUUCACGAACUCGGCGUCCCAGUUCUUGAGCUCCUCAUCGGCGGCGCUGCUGCGAUCAUCAGACUUGGGAGUCUCGACGUGCUUCUUGCAGUACUCGAUCACUUUGGCCAGGAUCUUGCUCGUCACAUUAGGCAGCGGGAUACCAUUAUCAGCACAAUCGUCCUCGAUCAUGUGUUUGAUCGUUUGAGACUCGAGAGCCACCGCCUCGUCCACCUCAAAGGGCUCACCGUCGCUGCUUUUCAAAGUGAUCUUCUUCGACGACGACAUCGUUUCGAUCGAAAACAAACAGAAAAAAAUGACAAAACCGUACCCUAGAGCAGUUCCGCCCGGCGCUUUUUCACUCAAUUUAUUUACAAACAAACGAACGAUAAACGAUAGAUUGAACCGAAGAGGCGUCCCCCUUCAAUUUAUGGAGUUUGUGAGAAAUAAUUUGGUUGAUCCCAUGGGCCAAGGUGUAUCAGCAAAAAUACUUCAGCGUUUACGUGUCAAUUGGGUAAUACAAUUGCUAGGGAAAUCAGGCUUUGGCGUUGGCAGGUAGUAGUAGUCAUGACUAGGCGUAGAACCGACUCAGGGCUGCGAUGAAAGGAACCUUG